rnacentral:rRNA from 1 species
CAGCCGCCGCGGUAAUACGAAGGGGGCUAGCGUUGCUCGGAAUUACUGGGCGUAAAGGGAGCGUAGGCGGACAUUUAAGUCAGGGGUGAAAUCCCAGAGCUCAACUCUGGAACUGCCUUUGAUACUGGGUGUCUUGAGUGUGAUAGAGGUAUGUGGAACUCCGAGUGUAGAGGUGAAAUUCGUAGAUAUUCGGAAGAACACCAGUGGCGAAGGCGACAUACUGGAUCAUUACUGACGCUGAGGCUCGAAAGCGUGGGGAGCAAACAGGAUUAGAUACCCCCGUAGUCCCUGUCUCUUAUAC